rnacentral:lncRNA from 1 species
GCUGUUGUAAAAUGUGUAUAUACAUCUGAAGUAACAUUGUGUGUGUGUGUGUGUGUGUGUGUGUAUAUUUUCCCCCAGUACUGAUUAUUAAACCCAGGGCCUUACAAAUGCUUGGAAAGCAUUUUACCACUGAACUACAUCUCCACCCUUUUUUUUUUCUUUAAUAUUUUUAGUCAUACAUGAACACAAUAUUUUUAUUUCUUCAUUUUUAUGUGGUGCUGAGGAUCAAACCCAGUGCCUUACAUGUGCAAGGCAAGCUCUCUGCCACGGAGCCACAACCCCAGCCUAUCCACCCUUUUUAAUUUUGACACAGUCUCACCAAGUUGCCCAGGCUGAAUUUGAAUCUGCCUCAGCUUCCUGAGUUGCCGGGAUUACAAGCAUGUGCAACUGAAUGCUGCUUCCCAGCAGCUUUUUGAUGGCUUAUGAUAGAGCAGGCUAUGAUUAGCUCAAAUUUUUAAAUAGUUCACAUAUCUAGUGAUGUAGAUAACCCAAUUUACAGUUGCAAAUAAAAAUAUUUUCAUUAUUUGAAUUAUAAGUGGGUCUAUCUGAAAAAAAAAAGAGUCAUGUUUUUAUCUUGAAAUCUGGAAUAUGCUAAAAGUUUCUGUUUUAAAUACUGAAAGAAACAUUUAUAUUCAGAAAUCUGUGAAGUUAAAAAGUAUUGAAAAGACAACUUAAAAGCAGUCCUCUCUAAGAAUGUUAAAUUGAAGUCUGAUAAACUUUCUAAUAAUAAUAGAUCAGAUUUUUCUUGCGUGAGUUGACAUAAAAUAUGAGAAAAAUAUAAAAGAUAAAAUUACCCCUAUGAACUUGGCAAAUAAUAAUCUGGAUAGAAGAUGUGCCAGUGUCCUGAUAUGUGAGUUCUUCAGUGAGGCCAUGUUAUUAUAAUAACUUGAGUAGAGGAGUUCAUUUAAAUAUACUUCUGAAUAAAUAUAUUUAAUAUAGAUCAGUACUGUGUGUGUACUUACUAAUGUUCUAUGUUUACUUGUAUCUUUGUAAAAAUCUGUCACAGAAUUUUAUAAUUUGCCAAGGAUGCUGGGUCUAAUACAAUAUAUACCCCAUUUUAUCAGUUUAAUUAAUUGAAAAUGCUAUGGUCAAGACUAAUAUUCAGAAUGUACAUUUAGAUAUUUUUUUUGGAAUAGGUAUUUGGAACCCAACCAAAUAUUACUUCACAUUGUUUACAUUAAAAAAAAAAGUUAAUUUUUAUAUUUGCUAGUCCAGAAUCUGAUUUUUAUUAAUGGGGUUUAAGAAAAAUGUAUUUUCAUGCUAAGAACAUCAUUUUUACCUAAAUGGAUAGGUUUUGUAGCAUAUAAGGAAUGAUGAUGAUUAAGUCUUUGGCAUAAAAAUAAAUUACCACAUUCUUUUCAUAUAAAAACUUACCUUCACUAAUGUUCAGAGUAUUACUAGAUAUCAUAUCCCAAAAGUAGAAAUAACCCAAAUGUCCAUCAACUGAUGAAUGGUUAAACUGUGAUAUAUAUAAGACAGAAUAGUAUUAAUAAGAAGGAACAAAAUACCAACACGUUAUAUGUAUCCUGAAACUUGAAAACUUUCUGCUGAGUGAAAAAGCAGACACAAAAGCCGAGCACAAUGGCACACACCUGUAAUCCCAGUGGCUUGGGAGGCUAAGACCAGAGGAUUGCAAGUUCGAGGCAGUCUCAGCAAAGUAGAGGCACUUAGUAACUCAGUGAGACCUUGUCUCUAAAUAAAAUACAAAAUAGGGAUGGGGAUAUGGGGAUGUGACUCAAUGAUUAAGUGCCCCUGAGUUCAAUCCCCAGUACCAAAAAAGAAAAAAAGCAGACACACAAGGCCACACAUUGACAUAUUGUAUGAUUAAUGAAAUGAUCAGAAGCAGCAAAUCCAUAAGGACAGAAGCUGGAUGUUUCAUUGCCAGGAACUAGAAGCAGGGGGAAUGAGGAAUGAAUACCAAUGAGUAUAAGGUUAUUUGCCAGAGGGUGAUG